rnacentral:rRNA from 1 species
CCUACGGUGUGCUGCAGUGGGGAAUAUUGCACAAUGGGGGAAACCCUGAUGCAGCGACGCCGCGUGAGUGAAGAAGUAAUUCGUUAUGUAAAGCUCUAUCAGCAGGGAAGAAAAUGACGGUACCUGAGUAAGAAGCCCCGGCUAACUACGUGCCAGCAGCCGCGGUAAUACGUAGGGGGCAAGCGUUAUCCGGAUUUACUGGGUGUAAAGGGAGCGUAGACGGCAGUGCAAGUCUGGAGUGAAAGGCGGGGGCUCAACCCCCGGACUGCUCUGGAAACUGUACGGCGGGAGUGCAGGAGAGGGAAGGUGAAUUGCGAGUGGAGCGGGGGAAGGGG